GUCUGGAUGGUCUAGUCGGUUAUGACGUCGGUCUCAUAGAUUCCUAUACUGUGAUCUUGCUCGACGCAAGAAGCUAUCCGAAGGUCACGAGUUCGAUUCUCGUUCUGGACA
rnacentral:tRNA from 1 species